AUACUAAUAUAAGGCUCUUUUAGGUCUUAUAAUUAGAAUAAGUAUAAUUUAAAUCCCUUAAUAAAGAAUAAUUAGAGGGCAAAUCUAGUACUAGUAGCCGUAGUAAUUCCAGCUCUAA
rfam:Villosiclava virens strain TV-8b Sca_37, whole genome shotgun sequence.